rnacentral:rRNA from 1 species
GGAGGAAAAGAAACCAACAGGGAUUGCCCUAGUAACGGCGAGUGAAGCGGCAACAGCUCAAAUUUGAAAUCUGGCGCAAGCCCGAGUUGUAAUUUGUAGAGGAUGCUUCUAGGUUGCGGCCGGUCUAAGUUCCUUGGAACAGGACGUCACAGAGGGUGAGAAUCCCGUAUGUGACCGGCUUGCACCUUCUACGUAGCUCCUUCGACGAGUCGAGUUGUUUGGGAAUGCACCUCUAAAUGGGAGGUAAAUGUCUUCUAAAGCUAAAUACCGGCCAGAGACCGAUAGCGCACAAGUAGAGUGAUCGAAAGAUGAAAAGCACUUUGGAAAGAGAGUUAAAAAGCACGUGAAAUUGUUGAAAGGGAAGCGCAUGCAACCAGACUUGUCGGCGGUGUUCCGCCGGUCUUCUGACCGGUCUACUCGCCGCCAACAGGCCAGCAUCGUCUGGGGGCGCCGGAGAAAGGUGCCGGGAAUGUAGCUCCUCGGAGUGUUAUAGCCCGGCACACAAUACGGUGACUCCCGGGCGAGGUCCGCGCUUCGGCUAGGAUGCUGGCGUAAUGGUUGCCUGCGACCCGUCUUGAAACACGGACCAAGGAGUCGACCAUCUGUGCGAGUGUUCGGGUGUCAAACCCCUACGCGUAAUGAAAGUGAACGGAGGUGGGAACGCAAGUGCACCAUCGACCGAUCCUGAUGUCUUCGGAUGGAUUUGAGUAAGAGCAUAGCUGGUCGGACCCGAAAGAUGGUGAACUAUGCCUGAAUAGGGUGAAGCCAGAGGAAACUCUGGUGGAGGCUCGCAGCGGUUCUGACGUGCAAAUCGAUCGUCAAAUUUGGGUAUAGGGGCGAAAGACUAAUCGAACCAU